CAGUAGCCGCGGUAAUACGUAGGGUGCGAGCGUUAAUCGGAAUUACUGGGCGUAAAGCGUGCGCAGGCGGUUCGUUAAGACAGAUGUGAAAUCCCCGGGCUUAACCUGGGAACUGCAUUUGUGACUGACGGGCUAGAGUAUGGCAGAGGGGGUAGAAUUCCACGUGUAGCAGUGAAAUGCGUAGAGAUGUGGAGGAAUACCGAUGGCGAAGGCAGCCCCCUGGGCCAAUACUGACGCUCAUGCACGAAAGCGUGGGGAGCAAACAGGAUUAGAUACCCCCGUAGUCCCUGUCUCUUAUACA
rnacentral:rRNA from 1 species